GCUGAUGUGGCUCAGUUGGUAGAGCAAUGCAUUCGUAAUGCGUAGGUCGUGGGUCCGAGUCCCACCAUCAGCUCCA
rnacentral:tRNA from 1 species